GAUGAAGAACGCAGCGAACUGCGAUACGUGAUGUGAAUUGCAGAAUUUGUGAAUCAUCGAAACUUUGAACGCACAUUGCGCCUGUUGGUACUCCGUCAGGCACGUCUGUUUGAGCGUUGUUAAAAUCUCAGCGAAAGCUGGUUGUAGAGGAGGCAAGCACGCCCCUCUGAAAUAUCUCGGCAUUGUGCAACGGCGAAACGUGAAUCAAUUGCUGCAAUACCAAUUCUAUCUCUCAACCUCAAAUCAGACGAGAAUACCCGCUGAACUUAAGCAUAUCCAAUAAGCGGAGGA
rnacentral:misc_RNA from 1 species